UCGAAGCGGGCGUCGCCCACCGUCCCGCUCAUUCGCCUCUCGUUUAGCGCCCGCUAUGUAAACGCGUCUUGUUGUGAAUCUAAACAAAAUCAGUCAGUCUUCGUUUUGUUCCCCGAAGAGUAGUGCGUCGGGGGUUUCGCGUCCGCGUUUUCGGAACAUGUGCCAGUGAACGUAUACCGAUCAUCAUGCACGCGUUAUUCGGCGAACAGAGCCCCUAUGCGUACCGCGGUGGAGCUGCCGGGGGAUACUCCACCGGCGUGACUCCCUACACCUACGAGCAGUACAGAUACGGCUACGGCGCUCCGUACCUUCACCCUCAUCAGCAGCACGUCGGGACUCCCAAGGACAUGGUCAAGCCGCCGUACUCCUACAUAGCUCUAAUCGCCAUGGCGAUCCAGAACGCCCCGGAUCGCCGGAUAACGUUAAACGGUAUUUAUCAAUUCAUCAUGGAGAGAUUUCCGUACUACAGAGAAAACAAGCAGGGCUGGCAGAACUCGAUCCGACACAAUCUGAGCCUCAACGAGUGCUUCGUGAAAGUGGCUCGAGACGACAAGAAGCCCGGGAAGGGCAGCUACUGGACGCUGGAUCCGGACUCGUACAACAUGUUCGACAACGGCUCGUACCUGCGCCGGCGGCGCCGAUUUAAGAAGAAGGACGCGCUAAAAGAGAAGGAGGAAGCCCUAAAGAGGCAGCAGCAGCUUCAGCAGGCCCAGGACGCGCUCGCCGCCCAGGAGGCGCUGAGCGCCGCCGACGCUCUCGGUCAAACCCGAGACGUGAAGCCCGACGUCAAACCUCGCAUAUUCGAAUGCAGACCGAAGCGGGAGCCGGGGGCGGAGUGCGCGCGAUACGAUAAGCUGACCGAGCCGAUGGACGACUUCAGCGAGCCUCGACUUCCGCCAUCCACGGUGUACUGCUCACCUCAGCCGUACUCGCUGGCGGCCGAGGAGUUCCGGGCUGCGACCACCGGCUGGUACACGGCGCCGGAGCCCCACGCGGAGCAGCUCCCGCCGGCCUUCCGCGACCUUUUCGAGCCCCCGAGCUGCCAGCUGGCUGGCUUCCGCGGCGGGUCGCCGACCCCUGACGUGUACCGCGCCUCGCCUCCGCCCCACCACCAUUACCGCACGCCGGCGCCCUCGUACUACCACCACCAGGCGUGCGUGGCCGCCGCUCCGGCGCCCGCCCACAAAUCCUACUGAGAUAUCGUCCUCAGGAGACCGGCAUCGGCGGCGCCGGACGGAUUUAGCCCUCCGCGUCAGUACCAGAGUGGAUAAAUAUAGCUAGCCGGAGAUGCCGUGGCGGCGAGUGGCGGUGCGUCAAUAACCACUGUUUACAGAUCGGCGGCCGGCCCUGCCGCCUCCCGCUCCGUUCGCACCUCGAGGUAAAACGGAAUGGAAGAAUGCGGGAGGUAUUAGAGCAGGGAGCAACCUAUUGUGAUAGCCGAUAGGUAUUAUGUGAAAUGACUAUGUGGUGACACAAGUUAUAUAGCCUUUACAUAAGGUUAUAUAUCAGCGAACCCGGUAGUUACGAAUUAACGAAUAUAAUAUAAGGUACGUUAGAUAAGACGUUAUAAUAAGCGCAUUUAAAGAAAAGUUAAUUUAUAAAUUGUAAAUAUUGUUU